GGCGCGGCGGCGGCGGCUGAGGCGGUGCGGAGCGGAGCGCGGAGCCGCUGCCGCCACAGGGCACGGUCCCCUGCUCGGCCUCACGGUGGCGAUGCGGACGCAGUAGGGGCGCCGAGCAAAGGCAGGAUCUGCGCUCGCCGCAGCCCCGGUUCACCCCGGCCCGGUUCGCCUCCUUCGAGGCGAGCCCGACCAGAGAGCUGGAGGAUGUUCGGAUCCAAUUGGGAAAGACACAAGUCCCUAACUCCUCUUAGAGGGGUUGGUCAUCCCCUUCCCCCAGCCCUGCGGGGGAGGAAGCUAAGGUUUGGAGCGACAGCCUCUCUCCCCGAGCUAGAGGGUCUCUAAGCCAAGAGCAGUCAUUGAAGACAAAACCGGUCUGCAGUUUUUUUGUGGUGCAGGUGCCUGCACUACUUCUAGAAAGUCGUCCCCACCCCCCACCCCCGUGUUCCAGUUCAGAGGACAAAGGUCUAUCGAUGUCCGUACCUUCCCCCAGUGAGAACAACCGGGGAAGACCUGCCUGCCUCUCUUGUGUACAGGACUAAGCCAGUGGCACAGAGUUAUCCAUGAAAUCAGGUAGAAGGUACAGGUCUUUUCAGAAGCAAAGCCCACAACUCCACACUUCUCAACUCCACCCUCUGCUGCCUCCUAGAUCCUGCCUGAGAAGCUGCAGAUAGCAGGGUCGUAAUAUAAGCUGUACUAUAAGAGACCGAGGUCAGAUCUCUUGAGAACCCUCUGAGGGAAGAUGUAAUAUGAAGGAGACCAGUUGAGUGGAGAAAACCACUGUUGAGGAGGAGGACGUGACAAUGUCAGGAAGAUGGGGUAAUCAAGGACGGAAGAGCAUGAGGCAGAGAAAACAGAAAUAAUGGUUAAUGCUGAGUGAGCACUUCCCAUGUGCCAGGUACUGUUCUGAGUGCUUCCCUUAUGUUAAUUUCUUAGUACAAUUAGGCUCACUUUAUAGAUGAGGAAACUGAGGCCCAGGGUCACAGUUUCUGGUACAGGGUAAAACAGCAGGGAGUUGCCAGAGCCCAACACUUAACCCCUUAGGAAGCCACACAGGGAAAGAGGGUAAAACAGAGGUGCCGCUCUUCUGACAGGAUGGAAAGGCGAGGCUGGGCUGGUCUGUCAUUUCUAAAGCCAAGGCCAGAUCUUGCUUGCCUAGAGGAAAUCCAACCACAAUCUCUGUUGGGGUUCCUCCUUGGAACUUCUGUAUAAACAGAAGUUCUGGGAUCUUAUGAACCCCACAAUAGGAGGAAAGUUCCUUCUCUUCACCAAUCUGUACUUAAAAGCCCUGAGGUGCUGCGUCAGUUAAGAAUGUGUAGGCUCUCCAUGGUGGCUCAGCAGUCAAGAAUCUGUCUGCAGUGCAGGAGACCCGGGUUUGAUCCCUGGGUCGGGAAGAUGCCCUGGAGGAGAGCAUGGCAACCCACUCCAGUAUUCUUGCCUAGAGAAUCCCAUGGACAGAGGAGCCUGGCGGGCUGCCGUCCAGUGACACAGAGUCGGACACAACUGAAGUGGCUAAACAGCAGCAGCAGCAGCAGCAGGCUCUCCACAAGAGAAACCCUAAAUAAUUUCAGCCAAGACCAGGAGACCUUGGCUUAUGGUCCAGCCUCCCCGAGCAUACUCAGCAGCCUCCUCCUGAGUUUUUCCAGGGUGUUGACAGGGAGCUGGACACAGUCCCAGAAGAAUGUGGGCACUCAUGGCCCUCUGCCUGGUUCCGGUCAGGAGAAACCACCUGCUAAGCCACACCACUUCUCAAACGCACUUCCCUUCCUCACUCCCUCACCUUCGUGCCCUCCUGGAGUCCUACUAAAAUACUCUCAAGGGGGAGACCUUCGGGAAAACAAAGAGCAGCAAGUGUCUUCCUGGGAGUUUCUCCUCUUGGCCAGUUGCCACAAGCCUGUCUUCUGUGUCUGUGAUGGUUGAGGGGAUGGGACAGUAACGCAGGAGCGAGGAGCACACACCUGGUCUCAGUGGCUGACUGCGCCGCUGUUGCGGGGAAAGAACAGGGCGGUGCUAAACAGGAGACCUGGACCCCAGCCUCUGCUCUGGGCCAAAUGUCUUCAUCAGUAAAACUGUUUAGAAGGAAUGCUGUGGGGGUGGGGGUGGGAGGAGUCCACCUUCUUGAAAACUAGAUACAGAGGCCUCUGCAAAUUGCCUAGCAAAAUGCCCCAGUCAGACCCAUCCCUCCCUGGAUGGUAAGGUUGGGAGACACAGGAAUGGCAGGAAGUAUGUGUUGUGGCGUCCGGGGGGGCAGAUCUUGGCAUUUCCAGCCUGGCUCCAUGAUCAUACAAGGUGAGGUGUGGGGGUACAGGUGGUGGUUAAGAAGUAGCAAAGGAUCCCUAAAGUCGCAUUUUUGUAUCCAAGACAGAGGUUUUAACUAGGAUCCCUGAACCACAGCCUGUACACUGGAAUUCAGAGGUCGGUGAACUGAGAUUGGAAAAUAUUACAACUUAACCUCCACUCACCUCCAUUUUCUCAGUUUAUGAAUAAAGGCAAAAAACUGCAGUUGUAUUGGCAGGGCCAGUAGAAAGCACUGCUUUUUCUUUUACAUUUGCAGGUAUCUUGAAACAUUGUUUAAACUCAUUUCUACUUCAAGUUGACAGUGGUUUAUUGGGCUCAUCCCCUCAAUUCUUGUUAUUCAAUGUAUUAAAGAAACCCAUAUAUUACAACA